AUCAAUGUGAUCUUAGGGGAGUAUAAUAAAUAGAUAAGUAGACCGCGUGUGGAGAUUGGGUGCAAGGAUAAAAUCACAAGAAAAGACGGAAACUAGAAGCGCGGUGGGGCCAGUUGUUGAAAUAGAAGCAUACAUAAGAGCCUUACCUGGCCUUGACAAGUUCGGAACCAUGCAGAAUGAGAGGUUCACUUAGGGAAUCGGAACACAGGUGCUGCAUGGCUGUGUUCAGCUUCGUCGUUAGAUGUUGGGUUAAGUUCCGUAACGAGCGCAACCCUUGUCCUUAGUUACCAGCACAUCGGGUGGGCACUCUAAGGAGUCUGCCGGUGACAAACCGGAGGAAGGUGGGGAUGACGUCAAGUCAUCAUGGCCCUUACGGCCAGGGCUACACACGUGGUACCAUGGUCGGUGCAGAGGGUCAGCAAGCCGCGAGGUGGAGCUAAUUCCAUAAAACCGAUCGUAGUCCGGAUUGCAGUCUGCAACUCGAGUGCGUGAAGUUGGAAUCGCUAGUAAUCGCGAAUCAGAAUGUCACGGUGAAUACGUUCCCGGGCCUUGUACACACCGCCCGUCACACCAUGGGAGUGGGUUGUUCCCGAUGGAGUUGGAUCUAACGGUCAGGAGGGA
rnacentral:rRNA from 1 species